rnacentral:snRNA from 1 species
AUGGCCGCUUCGGCCAGCACAUAUACUAAAUUGGAACGAUACAGGAGAAGAUUAGCAUGCCCUCGCGCAAGAUGACAACGCAAAUUCGUGAAGGCGUUCCUAAAAAU